rnacentral:rRNA from 1 species
UGGGGAAUCUUGCGCAAUGCGCGAAAGCGUGACGCAGCAACGCCGCGUGAGGGAAGAAGGCCUUCGGGUUGUAAACCUCUUUCAGUUGGGACGAAGGUUCACGAGUUAAUAGCUUGUUGGACUGACGGUACCUUCACAAGAAGCACCGGCUAACUACGUGCCAGCAGCCGCGGUAAUACGUAGGGUGCAAGCGUUGUCCGGAAUUAUUGGGCGUAAAGCGCGUGUAGGCGGCCUGCUAAGUCCGCUCUGAAAGCCCAGGGCUCAACCCUGGGAGGCGGGUGGAUACUGGCAGGCUCGAGUCCGGAAGAGGCGAGUGGAAUUCCUGGUGUAGCGGUGAAAUGCGCAGAUAUCAGGAGGAACACCAAUGGCGAAGGCAGCUCGCUGGGACGUGACUGACGCUGAGACGCGAAAGCGUGGGGAGCAAACAG